rnacentral:rRNA from 1 species
UACGUAGGGUGCGAGCGUUGUCCGGAAUUAUUGGGCGUAAAGAGCUUGUAGGCGGUUUGUCGCGUCUGCCGUGAAAUUUCGAGGCUCAACCUCGAACUUGCGGUGGGUACGGGCAGACUAGAGUGUGGUAGGGGAGACUGGAAUUCCUGGUGUAGCGGUGAAAUGCGCAGAUAUCAGGAAGAACACCCGUGGCUAAGGCGGCUCUCUAGUACGGUACUGACGCUGAGACGCGAAAGCGUGGGGAGCGAACAGG